rnacentral:lncRNA from 1 species
GUUAGAAAUCGACACCGGAGAUUGCGUGCCGACGAGGAGCUGAUUGAGCACAGAUUCUGCCGGAAUUUGCAGGCGCAGGGGAAGAGGAGAAAGAGGGAAGAAUUUAGGCUAACUAACGCAAGAUAGCCGUUAAUUCUCAAUGUAAUUAUGAAAAGUUAUUUCAUUAAUUUUCCAAUGAAAAAUUACAAUGCUAAUCUGUUUUAUUUAUACUAAAUUACAAACAGAUUAAUUAACUCUAUUUUACUAAUGGGCCAAAUACAACACAGACUAAAGCCCAUUCGUUUAUUAUUAGCCCAAAUGAAAGUAUUGAAACUUUUGCAGAGAUGACCCUCGACUUCAUUGAAUCCUUUCUUUGAGUCUUGGUCAUUUUAUCUGCACAGUAAAACUUAAUAAACAAUUAGCAAAUGGUUUUAUAAGUAUUGAUAAUUUCAUUUAGGUCCUAUGAGUUUGGACAGUUAAUUUACAGAUCAUUUAGAGAUCUGUCUUAACUCUUUUAAAACUCAAUUAACCUUUUAAUUAUGAAUUCUCUUUGAAUUCCUUUACUCCCCCCUCAAGCCUUGGAAUAUAUAUUAAUUAUUCCAAGCUUGGAGUGAGAAUUCAUUAUUUCUCUGUCUCCUAGAGCUUUGGUUAGAAAAUCUGCUAAUUGGAAUUUAGUUCCAACUUGUUUUAUGAAUAUUUUGCCUUGAUUUAUCAUUUCCCUUAUGAAAUGACAAUCUAUUUCUAUAUGCUUAGUUCUCUCAUGAAAAACAGGAUUAUUUGCCAAGUAUAUGGCAGAUUUGUUAUCACAAAAAAUUUCAGUUGGUGUUCUUAUUUUAACUUUUAACUCAUUCAUUAGUUGAUGAAUCCAUGUGAUUUCACAUGUGGUUUGAGCUAUUGCUCUGUAUUCAGCUUCACAAGAUGACCUAGCCACUGUGACUUGUUUCUUAGUUUUCCAUGAGAUCAAAGAAUCCCCCAACAUUAUACAAAAACCUGUUAAGGAUUUUCUACUUAUUUGGCAAGAUGCCCAAUCAGCAUCACAAUAUGCUUGUAGGGCCAUAUCUUGCCUUUUGCUAUAUAUUAAACCCUGACCAGGUGCAUUUUUAAUGUAUCUAACUAGCUUGAACAAAGCUUGAAGAUGCACUUCUUUUGGCUCAUGCAUAAAUUGGCUUAACCAAUUUACUGGAAAGCUUAUAUCUGGUCUUGUUAUGUUUAAAUAUAUAAGUUUUCCUACAAUUUUCCUGUAAAAAGUUGGAUUUUGAAUUUUUGAUGACUUAUCAUUUCUAAGGUCUAUAUGCCUUUCCAUAGGUAUCAAGGAGGGUUUUGCUCCUGAGAGACCACACUCCUCUAAAAUUCCUAAAGCAUAUUUCCUUUGUGAGAGGUAUAUUCCUUCUUCAGAGUAUGAGACCUCAAUCCCUAGAAAAUAACUUAGUUUUCCUAGGUCUUUUAGUUUAAAUUUGUUCUCUAGCUGUACUUUAAUUAUGGAAAUUUCUAAUUCAUUAUUCCCAGUUAUGAUAAUGUCAUCUACAUAUACUAUGAGAUAUGAUAUAUUCUGAUUUUUCUCUCUUAUGAAUAGAGAGUAAUCAGAUUUAGCUUGAAUGAAAUCCAUAUCCAAAAGGACCCCUCUUAAUUUCUCAAACCAACUCCUUGAAGCUUGCUUCAGCCCAUAGAGUGAUUUGUUUAGUUUACAUACUCUUUUAUCUUCUUUGCUUAGAAGACCUUGUGGUGGUCUUAGAUAAACCUCUUCAUGUAAAUCACCAUGAAGAAAGGCAUUAUUUACAUCUAGUUGAUAUAAAUUCCAUUUUUUCAUAGCUGCUAUAGCUAUUAUUGUUUUAAUUGUGACCAUCUUAACCACUGGUGCAAAAGUUUCAAAGAAGUCAAAACCUUCUUUUUGGGUAAAGCCUUUGGCUACUAGCCUUGCUUUAUACCUUUCUAUAUCCCCAUUUGGUUUGUAUUUUAUUUUAUAAAUCCAUUUUGAUCCUAUGGAUUUUCUAUUCUUUGGAAGCUCAUCUAGAGUCCAUGUGUUGUUUUCAUUAAGAGCUUUCAUCUCUUUUUGCAUUGCAUCAACCCAAUUUGGGUCUUUUGAAGCUUCUUCAAAAGAAUUGGGUUCAUCAUGCACUGUUAUUUGUUUUAGAAAGUAUUUUUUCUGUUUGCUAGUUUUAUGGUAGGAUACAUAAUUGCUCAUGGGAUAUUUUGGCUCAUGAUAAUCUUUUUCAUUUUCAAGAUAGUAGUCUUGAAGAUGUUUUGAUUUAAUUAUUUUCCUACCAUGAAAACUAAUUUUCUGAUUUGUUUUGUUUUGGGAUGAUUUAUUUCCUAAUUGACUGUCUAGAGAACUUGAAUUAUUCUCUUGUUGGAUUGUAUUUUGUUUAUUGGCUUCUAAAAUUUCAGAAGAAUUUUGUUCUGAACUAUUUAGAGUGGCCAGAGUAUUUGAGUUUCUUUGAUUGAUAUUCAGAUCACCUAUUUGGGUGUCCAGAGCAUCUUUGUUUGUUUUCUCAAAAUGAACUUCUUUUGAGUUUGUGUUUAGGUUUUUGUUUUGAGAAUGAGUUUUGGAUAGAUUAUUCUCUUCUCUUGAUUCUAAAAAGAAUUCUUUUGAAUUAUUAUUUUCUUUUGAGUUACUAUCCAAAAUAUUGCUGUCCAGAUCAUAUUGGACUGCAUUAUUGUUUAAAAAAAUAGAAGCUCUUUCUUUUGAGUUUCUGUCUAGUUGGCUAGUGUCCAGAGAGAUGCUUAAAUUCUCUUGGUUAAGGUUUUGAGUUUGUUCAUUACUUGAGCUAAACUCUUUUUGAUUUGUCUGAACAUUUUUAUCAGCUAUUUGACUAUUAUUUUGGGUUUGAUUCAGAUUUUGUAUAUUUGUAUAAGAAUUGCCAUUAAGCUGAUGAUUAUUUUCAGCUAACUCAUGUAGUCUUUGUUCUACUGAGUUUCUUUCAUGUGUAUCAAGAGAGUUGAAGCUAUCUUGAUCUUCCUGAGGCUGUUUUUCUGAAUUUUGAGUCUGAAUUGACUCAUUUUCUUUUUCAUUUUGAGAAUUAGAAUUUUCUUUGGGAUCUGAAUUUUUAUUUCUCUUCUUUUUAUAUAAAUCAGGCAUGACUGAAUCUAUAUUUUCAGAGUUCAACAUCUUUAAUUUUUCAGAUGUUUGAAAUUCUGAUUUUUCAUUUGAAGAGUGAUUAUUUUCAGAUCCUGUUUUGCUUUUGUUUUUUAUUUUAGAAUCAUAAUAUUUAUAUAUGAUACUAUUAUAUACAUUCUCAUAUGAUUUGUUAUUUUGUGCUUGAUCUUGAUGAUCUUUGAACAACUUAUCUUUAAAAGGAAAAAUAUUUUCUCUAAAAAUUAUAUUUCUAGAAAUAUGAAACUUUUUGGUUUCUAUGUCUAAUACCAAAUAGCCUUUGGUAUUAGAGGGAUAUCCCAUGAAUAUUCCUUUGAAUGUUCUUUGAGAAAACUUAUGUUCUCUAAUAUUAGUUGUUGCAUAACAUAAACAUCCAAAAAUUUUCAUUGAGUCAUAAUUGGGUGUUUUGUUAUUGAGUAUUUCAUAUGGAGUUUUAUUCUCUAACACUUUGGAUGGAAUUCUAUUAAUUAUAUGAGUAGCUGUUAAUAUGCACUCUCCCCAAUAAAUUAGGGGAAUUUCUCCUUGAAAAUGUAAAGAUCUAGCCACCUCUAGUAAAUGCUUAUGUUUUCUCUCAACAAUUGCAUUUUGUUGAGGUGUAUAUGGGCAAGUAAGUUGAUGUGUUAUACCAUAUAUUUCUAGAGUUUUUUUAAAAGAUUGUGAGGUGAACUCACCUCCAUUAUCACUCCUUAUGAUUUUGAUAUUUUUGUUAAAAAGAUUUUUAACUCUAAUUAUGAACAAUUUGAUUUGUUCUAAGGCCAUGGCCUUUGUUUUUAAGAGAAAGGUCCAAGUAACUCUACUUAGAUCUUCCACAAUGGUCAAAAAAUAAGAAAAGCCAUCAUGUGUCAUAAUUGGGAAUUUACCCCAAAUAUCUAUAUGAAUUAGGUCAAAUAAAGACUUUGAUUUAGACAAGCUUUUCUUAUAUUUCAAUUUAUUCUGUUUUGCAAGAGGGCAAACAAGACAACUAUUUUUAAUACUUGAAAGAUUUUUAUUUAUUGAAAUGGAAGUAUUCAAAACUGUUUUACAAGCUUUAUUUUUAGAAUUUAAAAUACACUUGUUUUUAGCAUUUAUGCUUUCAGUCUCAAUUAGUAUCCUUAUUUUAUCAGCUGAGGUAUGCCCUAGCCUCUUGUGCCAUGUCUCAAGGUUUAUGGAUGAAUUGGCAGAGUCAAUUUGAGGCUUGAGAAAGUAGAGCCCAUUUUUACACUCACCCUGCCCAAUCACUUUCCCUAACCUGUUUUCCUGAAAAACACAUCCAUUUUUAUUAAAAUUUAGAUUUAAAUCUGAAUCACUUGCUAUUUUAUUUACUGAAAUUAAAUUCACUCUAAAUUGUGGAAUGUAUAACACAUUCUUAAGAGUGAAAUUUUCAGAAAUUGUUAUAUCUCCAAUUGAUAUAACUUUACACACUUCCCCACUAGGAAUGGUCACAAAAUGAUUGUAUUCCAUUUUGGGGGUGUUAUCAAAAAAAUUGGGAUUUCCAGUCAUGUGUUGGGAUGCCCCAGUGUCAAUUAUCCAUUUAUUUAAAUAAUUUGAGUUAUUUGAAAAAAAAGAAAAAUGCAUACCUGUGGAUUUACUUAGUAAAUCCUUGAGUAGUAGUAUCUCCUCACUGUUGAGAUUUGGCAUAUUUGCUGAGAUACUUGCUUGAUUUGCAGUAUUUUUCUUGUUUUUAUCCUUCUUAUCUUUGGGGAACCCUACUAAAUGGAAACAGUUCUCCCUAACAUGUCCAAAAUACUUGCAAUUAUCACAAUAGUAUUUUGUGUCUAAUUUCUUUCCAUUUCUGCCAUAUACCCCUUUUUUCUUGAAUUCUUCUUUCUUUUCAUCUUUAUCAUUAUUCUUAGCAAGCAUAGCUGUAGAACUACCCCCUACCUUUUCUUUAAAAUUUAAUUUUUGUUUUUCCUCUUGCAUAACUAGUGAAAAAACUUGGUUCAUUGAGGGUAGUUCAGAAUAGGCUAGGAUUUGACUCCUUAUGGUCAUAAAAUCCUCAUUUAGGCCUAAUAGGAACUGAUGAGUCCUAUCUUUCUCUAGCUUCUUUGUGUAAAUUGGUGCACAAGUUGUGCAAAAUUUGCACUCAGGUUUUUCUAUCUCUAUGUAUUGAUCCCAUAGAGAUUUGAAUUUAUCAAAAUAUACUGAAACAGAAUUACUAGCUUGAUUUAAGGUAUUAAUUUCAUACCUUAGCUGGCUUGUUUUUGGGGCAUUCUUCUGUUUAUACCUUUCUUGAAGCUCAGCCCAUGCUUCAUAUGCAGUUUCAGUAUGAAUCAAAGUGGAUGCAAUUUGGGGACUUACCCCAUUGAUGAUCCAAGAAAGCACCAGUCCGUUCACCAUUUCCCAGUCUUCAAAAUCAUCUCCUGUCUCUUCUAUUGGCUUUUUGAUUUUGCCAUUUAUGAAUGCUGUCUUUUUUCUUGAGACCAAUGACAGCUUCAUAGAAUUGGCCCAGGCAACGUAAUUGGCUUCACCAGUUAGCUUGUCUGAGACCAUUUGAGCUCCUGGAUGAUCUCCAGCUGAUAAGAAAAAUGGUGAUUUUCUGCCAAUUUCUUGUUUCACAUACUUUGUUCUUUCUCUUUUAUUCACUGAUCUCCUUCUCCUUCUUCUUGUAGCUCUAAAAAAUUUGUUGUCCUCUUCAGAUGAACUCGUUGCAUACUUGAAUGCUCUUGCUGAAGAUUCUUGAGACUCUUCUUCAUUAUCAGAGUGGUUAGCAAAUGCGGAAUUUGUAUCUAGGUCAACGUUGUUACCUACUGAUACCAUGUUAGAAAUCGACACCGGAGAUUGCGUGCCGACGAGGAGCUGAUUGAGCACAGAUUCUGCCGGAAUUUGCAGGCGCAGGGGAAGAGGAGAAAGAGGGAAGAAUUUAGGCUAACUAACGCAAGAUAGCCGUUAAUUCUCAAUGUAAUUAUGAAAAGUUAUUUCAUUAAUUUUCCAAUGAAAAAUUACAAUGCUAAUCUGUUUUAUUUAUACUAAAUUACAAACAGAUUAAUUAACUCUAUUUUACUAAUGGGCCAAAUACAACACAGACUAAAGCCCAUUCGUUUAUUAUUAGCCCAAAUGAAAGUAUUGAAACUUUUGCAGAGAUGACCCUCGACUUCAUUGAAUCCUUUCUUUGAGUCUUGGUCAUUUUAUCUGCACAGUAAAACUUAAUAAACAAUUAGCAAAUGGUUUUAUAAGUAUUGAUAAUUUCAUUUAGGUCCUAUGAGUUUGGACAGUUAAUUUACAGAUCAUUUAGAGAUCUGUCUUAACUCUUUUAAAACUCAAUUAACCUUUUAAUUAUGAAUUCUCUUUGAAUUCCUUUA